rnacentral:rRNA from 1 species
CACGGGGGGAGCAAGCGUUGUUCGGAAUCACUGGGCGUAAAGGGCGUGUAGGCGGUCAAGUAAGUGGAAUGUGAAAUCCCAGGGCUUAACCCUGGAAGUGCAUCUGAUACUGCUUGGCUUGAGUGCUGGAGAGGGUGGUGGAAUUCCUGGUGUAGAGGUGAAAUUCGUAGAUAUCAGGAGGAACACCGGUGGCGAAGGCGACCACCUGGACAGACACUGACGCUGAGGCGCGAAAGCGUGGGGAGCAAACAGG